AAUGCCGAGCCGAGUAUUGUAGCGACGGAGGAGAACGUGAGAGCCGAGACCGACUCCGCCUGACAUCUUGUUUCGAUCGUCAGAUCCUAUUAUUUCCCUCCUUCCAGUCUGAGUGUGUGUGCUGUUGGUGUUGCUGUUUGGCUUUUCCUAUACUGUGAGCUCACUCUAGUCUCUCACCUCGACAUUAGUCUCGUGUAAGGAUUCUUUCUUCAUCUCUCUUGUUUCUUUCCCUUUCACGUAAACUUAAUUUGGCCAACGCGGCCGCCGCCCCGUCGAGUGUGUGUGGAUGUGUAUAUGCGUGUCUCUCGCUCGUUCUAUACUCUAUCGCCUUUUGCCAAAUCCCCACCCCCAUUGCUCACACACAGACAACACUACCACCACCCUGCUGUAUGUCUGUUUGAGAGAAUAAAGAGCCCAGUGAAAUGAGAGCCUGACUUAUGCUCUAUAUAACGGCGCCAAGAAUGCGGAAAGUGACACAUUGUGCUGUGCUGCUGGCGGGGCCUCAUCAUCAGGCGUCGCCGUUUUUCACCUACAACCAAAUCGCUGCUGCCUCUGUUUGAAAACACAACCAAAGUUUCAUUUUCAUCCAAGUAAUAUUCAUCAGCCAAUAGGGCCAUCAUCUCGACCACAUAUUGAGUACUCUGAAAGAAGAAUAUUUCAUCGUGACUGUGUCUGUGCUAUACUACACACACACAGGCAAGUCGCCGAAAAAGCCGUCGACUCUGUCUAUAGACCGACUCUCCUCCCCUCCCUAUCCCCCUCCAUCCUUUUUCUCUCCCCUCCCUCUACACACACAAGACUAGACGACAGGGGCCAUUCAGUUUUGACACGUCCGUCCCACACCCUCUCGCGUCGUCGUGUUUUUUUUAUUUAUUAUUUUCGGACACAACAUAACUUGGGAAGAAAAAAAAGCCUUUUUUACUUGAAACAAACCGACGCAAGUCAUUUGUGUGUAUGUGAAAGUGUUUUGCUUGUUCUAUGCGUGAAAGGAAAAGAAAAUCGAACGCCAUUUGCAGUCUCUCACGCCGGAAAAACGAAACAGGAACCUAGAAAAACCAGGGGAAUUUUUGACAAGUAUCGUGGAUUCUUAGAUAAUCACACAAAACGCCCUUGCUGGACAUCACCAACUGGCUUAUACUCUGCUGCUACAUACUGAAAACCACCACAGAGAACGGGGAGUUGCAAUCUGUGCUCUUCAAGUUUACGUUGAAAAAGAAGACAUUCAUCCCAAGAACAAAAUUUUUGCUGUCAUUUCACAGCCUUGCUGCCAUUGCUGAACUCUUUCUAGUAUUUGCCUAUUGUCAAGUGAGGAACACACAGCACGAUGGCCUGCUGCCUGUCUGAAGAAGCCAAAGAACAACGACGGAUAAACCAAGAAAUUGAAAAACAGCUGCGAAGAGACAAACAGAAUGCCAGAAAAGAACUCAAACUGCUCUUGCUCGGUACGGGAGAAUCGGGGAAAUCUACUUUCAUCAAGCAGAUGCGCAUCAUUCACGGUGCCGGUUAUUCCGACGAAGACAAACGGGGUUUUAUCAAACUCGUCUAUCAAAACAUAUUCAUGGCAAUGCAGAGCAUGAUACGAGCCAUGGAUAUGUUACACAUUUCUUACGGAGACUCGCCUAAUAUAGAAAAAGCGGAACUAGUCCGGUCCGUUGACUACGAAACUGUCACAACUUUUGAAAGCCCUUACGUCGAAGCCAUACGGGACUUGUGGAGAGAUGCCGGCAUACAAGAAUGCUAUGACCGGAGGCGUGAAUAUCAACUCACUGAUUCUGCUAAAUACUAUUUGGACGACAUGGAACGGAUUGCAUUGCCCAGUUAUCUGCCAUCUGAACAAGAUAUUCUUCGCGCUCGUAUUGCAACUACUGGAAUCAUUGAAUAUCCAUUCGACUUGGAUUCGAUCCUUUUUCGGAUGGUGGACGUGGGUGGACAGCGAUCCGAACGACGGAAAUGGAUUCAUUGUUUUGAAAAUGUUACUUCCAUCAUCUUCCUCGUUGCAUUAAGCGAGUACGAUCAGAUUCUUUUUGAAUCAGACAACGAGAACCGAAUGGAAGAGUCCAAGGCUUUAUUCCGCACUAUCAUCACGUAUCCAUGGUUCCAGCACUCGUCAGUCAUCUUGUUUUUGAACAAAAAAGAUCUUCUAGAAGAGAAGAUUAUUUACUCCCACAUAGUCGACUACUUCCCCGAAUAUGACGGACCCAAAAAAGAUCAUGUCGCUGCUCGCGAGUACAUCUUGAAAAUGUACAUGGCAAUGAAUCCAGAUCCGGAUCGAAGUUGCUAUUCCCACUUCACUGUCGCCACAGAUACUGAGAAUAUUAAGCUGGUGUUUUGUGCCGUCAAAGACACAAUCAUGCAGACUGCACUGAAAGAGUACAAUCUGGCUUAAAAAAAAGAAAGCCAGAUUUAAAAUUGUUGCCAUCGCCAGAUAAACUUGCAUUGGGGGAAAAGUUGUUCAGAUACGGAGAAUAUUCGUUUUGUUUUUGCCGCCGUUAAGGAUACUAUUCUGCAACUCAACUUGCGGGAGUACAAUUUGGUGUGAAUUUCUUCGAUCCCUUUCCUGUUUUCACGAUAACACGCAAAAAAAAGUUCACUGAAGAAUCCGCUCUUGCUCUCCCUCCGCCUCAGUCCUCCUUUACCCCACCCUUCUUAAGUCUUCAAAGGAAGAAAGAAGAAAAAGAUAUAUAGGGAUGGGAAGUGAACAUAGCAAGAAGUCUGGUUCCAUGGUUACUUGGGAUUCGGAUAGCAAUGCGUUAAAAUUAAAAAUUGUUUUCAAUUUCCUUCAAUUUCUUCUCUUGAUUGCCCAAUUAGUUUAAAGCCACUGCAAAUGGGUGGGGAAAAAAAUCGUAGUGGUGUGGUGAAAUGCCGUUAGAAUCUGAACAUGCUGCGCUCUCUCUUUGCUCUCUCUUUGCCACUUUUUGAGGGGGGAGAGGGAGACUGAUAUUCGUCGUGACCUGCGCAUUAAAAACAGGUCAAGUUGUGAAUCGUUCGCAGAGCUCAGUGACCAAAUGGUGUUACCUCUUCCUUUCCCUGACACAACCGCGUCCUCCCCUUUGCCCGUUUCCGCUCUGUGUACAUAAUGAAUUUAAAAAGAGACAACAACAAAAGCAAAAAAAAAAAAAAAAAAUGUCGAUCAUUUGUUUCUUCCUCUCCUAUCUCUUAUGCUCUGCUACCCUCCUUCAGAUUUCGACUCCCCUCCCCCCCUCCCCAAAAAAAAACUCGAGUUAAAAGGUUCAAUUAGAUACAAAACAUGUAGAAGAAUUGCUUGAGUUUUUCGUUUUUGUUUCUUUAAAUCCCGUUUCGACUCGAAAGCAUUUUUUGUUGUUUGAAAUUAAGGGCAAAACACACAUUCUGUAUUCAAUGAAAUUUCUAUGUGUGUAUGUCUGUGUGUGUGCGUGUGUGUAUGUGCAUGUUAUAUGAGAUGUGCUGAUCACAGGCGAAACUAACGUGUAGACAGGUUUUGUAAGAAGGUGCGCAGGUUAACUGAAGCAGAAGGCGGGGGGAAGAAACAUUGCCUAGCUAGAAUCGUACUAAUAUUAAUUAUUAUAACAGUUUUGUCACUGCGUGUUCAUUUCUGCGCGGGAGACAAAGAAAAUUAAGACAGAUAGGACGAUACCCUUUUUUCCCUGCACUGACCGCCUCCCCCCUUCUUCUCUCCACUUCUUCUCCUCCCGAUUUCGGCUCUAGUCUCGCCCGCCAGUUGUUCAUUAUUGGGGACAUGACAUAAGAAAAGGAAAAAAAAAAAAUGAUUAAAUCUUCUGCGGACCCAUGGAAUCUAUACGUUAUUCUUCAUUUCUUUUGACUGUACUUAAAAGAAAAAAAAAACGAAGUCAUCGGCCAUUUUAGUCGCAAAUUGAUUGUUCUCGCUCCUCCAUCGUGUGUAUGUGCAAUUUUUCAAUUUUUUUUUUAAAUUCUCCCUAUUCCCUUCUUCCAAACCCAUUUCUCCCUCUUAUCUUCCCAUUUCUCACUUGUUCUAUAUACUGUGACCCGCCUACCACCCAUUCCCUAUCCUCCCAGUUUUGAUUCUUUAGUUUUUAUCAAUGAAUGCGUUUGUUUAUAUUUUGCGCGCGGAUGGUGUGUGGCCAUCAGUUUCAAUUACUUUCUAUGUUAGGGUUUUCUUGUAACCCCUUCAAGAAAGAUGACAUAGAUUCGUAGUUCUUUUAUUUUUAUUUUUGUUAAUCAGAAAAAAAAGUAAAAAAGGUAAAAAAAAAAAUCAUUUUCUUCCCGCCACUUGUGUGCUGUCUUGCUCGAAAAAAAAAAUAAACAAAACAAAGAAAAACAAAAAAAAAACAAAAAACGAAAGGAAAUGGAAAAAAAAGGAAAAAAAUUGAAUAAUGGCGGUGUCUUGACUUUGAUCCGUUUGAUUUCAUUCGCUAUCUCUAGCUCUCUUUUCUUAAUUUCAAUUGUAAUUCUAUUGUAUUGUACUGUACCGUGUACUGUAUUGAUGAUUUAAUCCGACAUUGGAAAUGAAGAAAUGGUUGAAAUGA